UGAUUUUGACCAAAAACUGUGUCCGUGUUUUCUAGGCCAUCUUAGCAGCUCAGAGACGAGGAGAGGACGUGGAGACUUCCAAGAAAUGGGCCGCUGGCCAGAACAAGCAGCAUUCGAUCACCAAGAACACGGCCAAGCUGGACCGGGAGACUGAGGAGCUGCACCAUGACCGCGUGACCCUGGAGGUGGGCAAGGUGAUCCAGCAGGGCCGGCAGAGCAAGGGGCUGACUCAGAAGGACUUGGCGACG